UUACUUGCCUGUGCCCCAUUCGGAGCCCACUAAAGACAUCAGUGGAAGUUAGAACAUCUUACUCAGUGGAGCAUGGAGGAUGUAAAUGACUAGUGGAAGGUCACACUAGGAGUAUGAGCAGUCACAAAAUUACCUUGGCAUUUUUCCCCAGGUCAAUAAAAGUUGGACUUAAAGUGAUGAAAAAAGGUCAGACAGGUUGUUUCCUUGUUUAUGAACUGAUUCUAAGUCUUCAUUUCUCAAGACAUAGUCAAACUUUCAGCACCAAUAAUGUGCUACACCACUGCUUCUGUCAGUUUUGCAGUGUCACAGGAACCAUCAACACAAAAAUCAUCUUUCUUUGUUCCUGGAGCAUUAGCAAUGCAGCAUAUUCCCAGCAGAUGGUCUGGCAGGCAAGGUGGUCCUAAAGAUUUCUGUAAUGCCUUUAUCCAGCAAUGACCCUCUGAGGGAAGCAAUUAAAACCUUUGCUAUAUUCUCUGGAGCUAGGAGAGCUUGUUUGGAACCACAUGAACUAGAUAUCUGUAACGCUAUAGGGAUGGCAGUUUCUUACUUAGAAAUGUAGCAUGAAUUACUUGCAAGAUGUUGUGUGUGUCGAACCUCUGCUAAGAAGAACAGAAAGAAGAUGAUGAUUGAGGAGAAAGAAACAUUAGAGAUCCUCUCCAAAGUGUCAGAGAAUGGCUUUGAGAAGGUGUGCAUGAACUUACAAGUUCCCCAAUUUCCAUGGGCUUCUCAAAAAAGUUAAAAGACAUGAAGAAUGACUAACUGUCCUUUGCAUAAAAGUGCAUAAAAUGGCCUACAGCGUUUGUCACAGCACCCAAGACUCUUGGCAGAGAUAAAAGACUUCAAAAAAAAAAAAAAAAAAAAAACCUACAUCCGAAAAGACAGCUGUGGAAGAAAGUGGUUCCACAUCCCAGAUAGGAUACACAUCUACAUUUUUUGCAGCAGGACUUUCGAAGGUGGAUUUUUAAAGGCACAUUAAAGAAUUGUGCCAAAUCUCAACAAGGUGAGCUCCUAACAUUCCUAACAGAACCAAAAAGGCUGAAAGAAAGGCUGACAACAGUGUUUGAAAUCUGCUUGCCAAACAAAAUGCCAAGCUUCACCUGGAAGUUCAAUGGGCAAGAGUUGAACCAAGAUGAUAAUUAUGAGGGCAUUCUACUGAUGACGGAUCAGUCCACAAUUAGGUCCCGUGGCCCUAGAGCACUCAGUGUUGAGACUGAAGAUCUAGUGCAGAAAGAUCCCCUCUUCAUCAGUCAUAAGUAACACAAGCGGCUACAAUUCAGUUCGUCAGUGAACCUGAGAAGCACCCAAGAUGAAAAAGGGAAAAACCUGCCUGGAGCACAUGCUGACUUCCAAAGAUGUCACCCUGAAGGGGAUGAAUGGGUGAUUGGGAAGGCUCUUAAGUACACCAAAAAGCAUGAAGGGAAGAGAGCAGAGCUUAUCAUUAAUGCUGCUGGGCUGAGUUAUUCAUGAGAUUGCACAGGCAUUGAUUGCUGUGCAAGACAGUGACCCUAAUGAGCAGUACAUCAGUGGCAGUCUAACUGAAGAAGCCAGGAUUGUCAUAAUGAAUUCUCAUCCUGAUUCUUUGAAGUGACCCAUGGGAUGUUUGGCUGCAGUCUGCUGAAGACCAGCAGCACAACGCCGGAAGAAAGGAGCAGUUUCCCAGUGGCAUCCCCAGUGCUGGGUUUUCCAGGUGCUUUUGCCACUGUGAAGGGUGUAUGUGUGAUAUUCUUGCUCUAACUGGGAACCUGCCAAACUCUGUGUCAACCUGAAUGAUGAGAAGGUGGAAGGAGUGUGGUUCAAGGAUGGCAAAUUCUUCUGUUAUUGAAGAACCUGUCCUGGAGCUUUUUGCUGCACGCUACAAAGACUGAACAAGCUGCAAGCAUCAAGAGCCUUCAAGAUGGAUGUCUCAGCUUCAAGUUGUAGAUGACAGGGAAGAAGCUGUCACCCAGGCCUGGAACUCCCCAGCCCAGGAUGGAGGCUUUCCAAUGGAAGGCAACAUCAUAGAAAGAAGGAAGAAAGGCAGCAAUCUUUGGGUCCCAGUCACCGAAGAGCUGGUCCAAGGUACCAUAUUCAAAAUGGAUGGUUUUCUGAAGGAUAUAGGAUGAAUUCCAUGUGAUAGAUACCAAGCAUGCAGGCCUUGGACUUCCCAGCACACCCUCAACCUGUUGUUGCAAAGAAUCCCAUCAUUAUGUUUCUUUCAGCAUUUAUCAUCUGGUUCCUAAACAUGUUUGACGUCCUGAAAUAGGAGCAGCUCUGUGUUCACAUACGCAAGCGUAGGCCUGCAGGUACAGUGAUCUGUCACAGUUCUCCUGCUGUCACAGAGCCUCUAGAACUCAUGAAUGGCCUCCACAUGGUAAAUUUGUCCAGCUCCAGCAUUUUGUUAGCCUGGCUGGAGCCAAACCAGGGAGCUGUGCCAUCAAGAUAUGUACUAGAGGAUGUGAGCUGAGGACCAAGGAAUGGACAAAAUGCACCAAAAUGCUUAUCUCUACUACCAUUUAACACUGUGGGAGGCUUGCAGCAGAGACAAAUCCUUGUUCUGAAUCCAAGUCGUGGAAGAAGCAAUGGAGCUACUUCUACAAAGAAGGAAUUCUAGCAGUGCCACCUCCCGCUGGCUGAGAAAGUCCCAGAAACCAUGACCCUGAAACAGAAUUGCCACCCAGACGAAGAUGAGGAAGACAGCUAACAGACUCAUGGUAUGCUGAAACAUGAUGUCAGUACUGCCACAUGGUUCACAGCUGCAGAAAAGGUCUACAGCAACAAGCACUGUCUGACCCUUGAGCUUCAAUGGAGCUGUGAUACAUCUGCAAAGACAAAGUGCAGUGCAAAGCAGCCCAGGGUGUUUCUGUGUCCUUGGCAGAACGUGUUGAGUUCAAGAUGGAGGAUUGUCCUAGGAAGGGACUGACUGGCAUCGCGCUCCUCACUGACCAGCCACACCAUGAGUCGGGACAGAGUCUGCACUAUGAACUGUGUUUUCAUCAACAACCCCCAUCCAGGGCUGACCUGUACAAGGGCAAGAUUAGCAUCACAUGUAAGUCCGAGUUGUGAUUCAGCCCAAAAAGUGGCAUCUGCCUACUAAGGAUCCUGACAACCUGCAGCUAUAGGUUGACCACCUCUGGCAGCUGGCAGCGAGGGGGAGGAGAGGAAGACAGGAUGAAGCAGCCAAGCAGAAGCCCAGAAAGUUGCAGGCAACAGAUGACAGCACUUCUGGCAGGAUCUUCCCUACCCCACUGGCCGUGGAGCAUCCCUGCUACACCACAACAAGGAGCCGGUGAUAUCCAGUCAGGAAGACGAGCUUCCAAAGACAGAAAAAGAA